rnacentral:rRNA from 1 species
GGGUGAGUAACACGUGGAUAACCUACCUAUAAGACUGGGAUAACUUCGGGAAACCGGAGCUAAUACCAGAUAACAUGUUGAACCGCAUGGUUCAACAGUGAAAGACGGUCUUGCUGUCACUUAUAGAUGGAUCCGCGCCGCAUUAGCUAGUUGGUAAGGUAACGGCUUACCAAGGCAACGAUGCGUAGCCGACCUGAGAGGGUGAUCGGCCACACUGGAACUGAGACACGGUCCAG